GACCCAAAACUUUUCUCAUUGUCCUACCGUGAUAGAGGCCACCCAAACCUGGAACAUGACUUUAGGAAACACUGUUCCAAUCCUCCCUUUUCCCAGGUUGAGUAGAAAUGGAAAAAAAAUCUGCAAGCCUUCCUCCCAGUGUCCUGGCUGGAGGACCAGGUGGCAUUAGAGAAAGCAAUGCUUGAAGAGAGCCAAGCUGCUGUGUGAUACAUCCCUGAGGAGGCGGAAGCAGACUUAAGAGAAGGAAGUUGACUACAAAAGCUACAGCUUGGAGAGAUGUUGAUUGAAAGGUCCGCAGUCUUCCGAGGCUAGGAUAAUUAAGAAUUUAAGAGCUUUCUGAAAUUGAAUCUUCCCUUUAUUCUUGACUGGCAUUUCUUGGGUGCUUUGCUGAAAAGGAGGGACCCAUGGCUAACCCAUCAUAUUCUUACACAUGAAUAAUAAUUAACUGCUUCCAGCUUCCAUGGUCACUACCCCUGGUCAGGAUUUAUGCCGCUCUUCUUAAAACUAGAGGGGGUCAGAAAUUUUUCCUUUGUUAACCAAUUUCCUUUUAUUCAGCAGAUUAACACUACAGACAAUUCAGAUCCUGGGCUCCUGGGAAUCCUAUUAAAACACAUCAGAGUGACUUUAGGCAAGAUACAUGAGGUGGGGAGGUGAAGAAAUGACGCUCCUGCCUCUGCAGCUAUGAAGGAAGGCCAGGUAAUGGGCUGUUUAGACUCGGAGCCUUCCAAAAGCUGAAGACACUGAUGUUAACAACUGCUGAUGAGUGGCUGGGAAAGGCUGAAGAUUUUACUUUAAAGUAAGUGAAAGAAUUAAUUGCCAGCAAAUUAAAAUGCUUCAUCUGCCAUUUCUCUGCUCCUCCGCCUUCUGCCUUCCACCCGGAACAGUAACAAGGGCGUUGUGAGCACAAGCAUGUCGGGCUGGCUCUUCCUUUCCAAGCCUCCUGGAGUUGCAGCUUGUGCUUACAUAUGGGGACCUGGAAAUGCAGGAAAGAACGCUGUGCUCCAGAGCAUCUCUGUUCCUUGAGGCACUGGUGGGACUCCCCGCUCAGGGAGAAAAGCGAAAGCAUAGACCGUGAGUUCCUGGAGCAGAGGAAGUAGAUUUCAUACUAUUUGUAUUCUCAGCAUCUGGCAGAGUGCGUGGCACGUAGUAGGAGCUUUACAUAGGAU
rnacentral:lncRNA from 1 species